UACGGGGGGGGCAAGCGUUGUUCGGAAUUACUGGGCUUAAAGAGUUCGUAGGCGGCAUGAAAAGUAGGGUGUGAAAGCCCUCGGCUCAACCGAGGAAUUGCGCUCUAAACUGUCGUGCUCGAGGAAUCUAGAGGUGAGCGGAACUGAUGGUGGAGCGGUGAAAUGCGUUGAUAUCAUCAGGAACACCGGAGGCGAAGGCGGCUCACUGGGGAUUGUCUGACGCUGAGGAACGAAAGCCAGGGGAGCGAACGGG
rnacentral:rRNA from 1 species